rnacentral:rRNA from 1 species
GACGAACGCUGGCGGCGUGCCUAAUACAUGCAAGUCGAGCGGACUUUCAAGAAGCUUGCUUUUUGAAAGUUAGCGGCGGACGGGUGAGUAACACGUGGGCAACCUGCCUGCAAGACGGGGAUAACUCCGGGAAACCGGGGCUAAUACCGGAUAAUAUCUUCCUUCGCAUGAAGGAAGGUUGAAAGGCGGCGCAUGCUGCCGCUUGCAGAUGGGCCCGCGGCGCAUUAGCUAGUUGGUGAGGUAACGGCUCACCAAGGCGACGAUGCGUAGCCGACCUGAGAGGGUGAUCGGCCACACUGGGACUGAGACACGGCCCAGACUCCUACGGGAGGCAGCAGUAGGGGAUCUUCCGCAAUGGACGAAAGUCUGACGGAGCAACGCCGAGUGAGCGAAGAAGGUCUUCGGAUCGUAAAGCUCGGUUGUCAGGGAAGAACAAGUACCGUUCGAACAGGGCGGUACCUUGACGGUACCUGAACAGAAAGCCACGGCUAACUACGUG